rnacentral:rRNA from 1 species
UGAGGAAUAUUGGUCAAUGGGCGCGAGCCUGAACCAGCCAAGUCGCGUGAGGGAUGACGGCCCUACGGGUUGUAAACCUCUUUUGUCGGGGAGCAAAUUCCGUUACGUGUAACGGAGUCGAGAGUACCCGAAGAAAAAGCAUCGGCUAACUCCGUGCCAGU